UCAGUCUCACCAUCCUGUCGGCUGGCAGUUCGGUCACGGCCCGAAUUUUUCAUUUUCUCUUCUAUACAUAUAUUAUACACAGACGCGCGCGCGAAUUGCGAAAGGGACACGCAGUGCACGCAGGAAAAUUCAAAUCAACACGAAGAACACAAACGGGUACCAAGUGUCGGUGUGCGCGAGAGACGACCGAGGAAGAAUUCGCGCGCGUAUUCCGGAGAGAUAAACAAUUAGCGCGCACCGCCGCCCCCGCCCGCCGAGACCACACACCCGACCGGACCACGCGAAGGCGGAGGCGGCAACGGCGAGGAGGAACACGUAGCGCGUAGUGCUGCGAGAGGAAGGUGGCCAGCGCGCGGUGGUGUGCUGCACGUGCGGUGGUGGUGAGUGGCGGUCGAGAUGCGUCUCCAUCAUCACCAGCAGGCCUGCUGGUGAUCAUCGCACACGCCGCCAGUGUCAUCCGAGGCGAGCACACCGUCAUCAGCCGCAGCCGAGUCCACUCAAGUAUGCAAAUCCUGCGAGCGUUCGCCAAUAUCGACCCGUCAAUAUAAUCGCCGAAUCAAUCAAAUCAGAACCAAGCGUGCCGUGACCACCAACAUCCGUGCUCGCACACCGGCGUCACGAACGAUGCGAUUGCUAGCAGUGCUCGCCUUGCAUCGCGCCACCGGCGGCUCGACGACGACGACGACGACGACGAGGGCGAGCGGCAGCACAUUGGAGGCGGCGACGGCGACGUGAGAUGCGCACGGCACCUGGGCGCGCUGGGCGGACGAUGUGAACGCGGGCGGCGGCGAGCGCCAGAGCCCCGCGCACGCAUCUCUCGCAGACGAGGCGGCGGCACCACCGCACGUUAUAGUUCCUCACGACGUCCCGCAUUAUAUACACAUAUACAUAUUUGUACUCGAGAUUUAAGAGUGGAGAGCAAGCAACAAAACGAAGCAGAAACAGUCGAGAGGCGAAGACACAGCGGCGGCACCAGCAUGCGGCGCGGA